GGUCUUAUAGUCAAAUAAUGAUAUAAAAUUGCAAAUUUUAAGUUAAUAAAGAAUAAAGAAUAUUUAAGGCUU
rnacentral:tRNA from 1 species